rnacentral:rRNA from 1 species
GUGUAUACACCUACCGGCGGAUUGGGUGAGUAACACGUGGGUAACUGCCUCAGAGAGGGGAAUAGCCUUCCGAAAGGAAGAUUAAUACCGCAUAAUAUACGCAUUUAGCAUUAUGAGCGUAUCAAAGGAGAAAUCCGCUUUGAGAUGGGCCCGCGGCGCAUUAGCUAGUUGGAGAGGUAACGGCUCACCAAGGCGACGAUGCGUAGCCGACCUGAGAGGGUGAUCGGCCACAUUGGAACUGAGACACGGUCCAGACUCCUACGGGAGGCAGCAGUGGGGAAUAUUGCACAAUGGGGGAAACCCUGAUGCAGCAACGCCGCGUGAAUGAUGAAGGCCUUCGGGUCGUAAAGUUCUUUGAUUGGGGACGAUAAUGACGGUACCCAAAAAACAAGCCACGGCUAACUACGUGCCAGCAGCCGCGGUAAUACGUAGGUGGCGAGCGUUGUCCGGAUUUACUGGGCGUAAAGGAUGCGUAGGUGGAAACUUAAGUGGGAUGUGAAAUCCCCGGGCUCAACCCGGGAACUGCAUUCCAAACUGGGUUACUUGAGUGCAGGAGAGGAAAGCGGAAUUCCUAGUGUAGCGGUGAAAUGCGUAGAUAUCAGGAAGAAC